rnacentral:rRNA from 1 species
UACGGGGGGGGCAAGCGUUGUUCGGAAUUACUGGGCGUAAAGGGCUCGUAGGCGGCCAACUAAGUCAGACGUGAAAUCCCUCGGCUUAACCGGGGAACUGCAUCUGAUACUGGAUGGCUUGAGAUUGGGAGAGGGAUGCGGAAUUCCAGGUGUAGCGGUGAAAUGCGUAGAUAUUCGCAAGAACACCAGUGGCGAAGGCGGCUCACUGGCCCGGUACUGACGCUGAGGUGCGGAAGCGUGGGGAGCAAACAGG